CCGGCAGGAAGGUGAGGGAGGGGCCUUGAGAUGGGGCGGGGCCAGUGAGGAGAAGAGCGCCCGGCCGGGUGGAACGGGGCCGGCAGGAAGGGUCUCAAUGAAGCCCCUUUCUGAGACUUCCUCCUCUCCAACGCCUGUGUUACUCAAACUCUGAGGAAGGCGGAAAGGCUGUGACAAGCAACGCCUGGGCUCUGUCUGAACGAAACGUAGCACCUUAACAGUGACCGGGAUAGCGGCCCCGCCUUUUACAGCCGGGGCCAGACAGUCCGGCGGGUUGCCUGCCACCCUGCGGGUUGGAGUCAGCAGCAGCCGGGCACGGUUUUGCCACUAAGCCAAGCUACCAGUAAGAACCUUGCAGCGUAGCUGGCAUGUGAACGGGUACUCGUCUCGACUUAGGUUUUAAAGUGUUGGCUCCUGUGCCGGUGUCCAGGUGCAGACGCUGAACACACCGGCCUGUGAGCUGCACUCAGGAGACGCUCCCUGAGGCUCCUGUGUCUGCAGUCCUGGGAGCAAGGCGUUGGCUGAACUUCGGCCCAUCUUUUCAAGGAUGUUGGAGUAGCAAACAGCCCCAGAUGGACAAGCAGGCUCUGCUCUGGGUCCCUGCCCCAGCACAGGACACGUGGUGUCUGCCCUCCCCCGCUGUUCCAGCAGCAGGAAUCCCCAGGUGCCAGAGCCUGGAGAGCGCCGAGAGGUGGCCUGGUCCGUGUCUGCGGGGUGAUCUGGGGUCUGCAGCACCAGCCUCCAAGCUGUUUCCACGUGCCUCCUCCUCAUGCCUGAGGAAGUGGACCCUGGGGUGUGGCCUGCACACGGACAUGCCCCCGUGAGGGUGCAGCUGGGUUUGAGCGGCUCUCGUGCCCCCUUCUGUCUAAGCAGGUUUGGGUGCCACAGUGCUCCGGAAACGAGGAUUCUUGCUGUGCGUCGGGGCCCAGGCCCCUCUGACCUUCUGUGCGGGAAACAAGGGGUGGUUAAUAAACAGUCUUUUCAGCGUGUGCUGCGA